rnacentral:lncRNA from 1 species
GGAAAGAUGAUUUUUUGGAGAACUUUCAUGAAGUGAAAACUUUUUGAAAAUGUGAGAUAAUUAGUACUUAAUAUGCCACAUUCAUGAAGGAAAGCUAUUAUUACAAUAUAAUAGGGAACAAAUCUACGGGGUAGUAUACCACCAUUACAUCAAACCGAAGCUUGUGAGCUAAAGAUAAACAAGGAGAUCGAAGAAUCGUGCAAGAGAAGGAACAAUGGUGAUCCAAGUUGGCAAGAAAAUCAGCACAAGAUUUAGCCUCCAAGCAAUUAUGAUUCAAUGAGAAAUUUUAAUAUGAAAGAUGGAUAAGACGAAGAAUGUCUAGUAAGAGCGGUAGAAGAAUUGCAAUACGAAAGCUUAUCAUCUUCUAUAAAUAGGAGGUCUUACGGGACGUUGAAACAUUAUAAUAGUAAGAGACUAGAUUCAUAUUAUUGUUUGGAAUUGGAUAUAUGUUUCCCUUCUAUAGUUCUCACUUUCCCAUGUUUUUGCCAUGAAUUUUGUAAAGCUACGAAUUCAAGUUUAUUUUUAUUAAGUUACGAAUUCAAGUUUAAGAGUAAAUAUGUGUGUUUAGAAAAAGAAAAAAAAGAGUAAAUAUGUGUUUAGCGCCUUUAUAUGUGGUUCCAAACAUGUUGUAAGUGUGUGUGACAUCACUUAUGUGAGACAGUAUUUGAGUUUGUAGAAUGAUUCAUAUACUGAAACAAUUUGGUCGAGACGUUUAUGUUGACAUAGAUAAGAGGUAUUGACCCACGUAAAUAUUUGUUAUGUGUUGUGUACCUAAGAUCCUCGAUGCACAUAGAUUUUCCAUAACAUAAUUCUUUACAUAAACUGUGCUUUCAUUAGUAUGAAUCAGAUCUCUUAAAUUCUAGCUUAAUUGAAAAAACUAAUCAACUUAAUAUAUUAUAAUUGAUGAACAAAGACAAAUUAGUGAAAUAACACCAAUUGUUACAAAAAAAGACAAAUAACACAUAUUGAUGAACACCUAAUUUCCUCCUUUUAAUAUUAAUCAUACAUGGCUUAACGGUUGGAGUUGGUUUUCAAGGUGAGGCAUAUAGUUUGAAGAGGGAUGUUUGGACUUUUCUAUAUUACUAUGACGUAUCGGCAUCUUAUAUUUAACCAGUGUAGGAAUAUACCACUAUACACACAAAAAAAAAAAGUUUAUAGUGAAUCAAAAUCCAUUGAAAAUAUUUUAGUCUUGUCGUUAGAACUGUUUAGAGUGGUAAGAAAGUUUAUUUUUUAGUAUAUACCAAUGCCUAACAAAACCACUGGAUUAGCACCUUCCGUAAGCCAUUGAUUAAACUAUUAAUGUAUUAAUUUUAUAAGGUUAAUCAUUAAACCACCUUUUAGGUGAAAGUGAUGUCUACGUUAAUUUAUUUUGGCUGUAGGGGCUUUGGACGACCAUAAGUUAUUUUACCAAGCUACAAGGACAGUUUAAUAUACAAACCUUAUUGCUUAGUCUUUAUUCAAAUGGAUCUCUCUUGAUCAAUAAAGAACAUAUAGCUCUAAUUAUUGAUUGAUUUGUAAGCUUGCCGAUUUGUAUUAAACAAUAAAAAUGGUAUCUGAAUCUAGAGCUUAUGCAUAUGUCAUUUUAGUUUGUCCUAUUUUUAAUGUCAUUUUGACAUUUUCCAGAUUUAGCUGCCUUACAUUACAUGUAACAGCUUCACUGGAAUAGGUGAAUACCAUCAUUCUAUAUUUAGUUAAAGAAUGGUAAAGUACGUGAUGGAACCGUUCCAAGUGCAAAAAAUAAAAAUAGUGCGGUGUGUAAAGUAACUACAUGUUCAACUUUGAUAAAGCAACCGGUCAUAAUGUAAUAUAUAUAUAUAUAUAAACACACAUACAUGGUCUCAAAAAAUAGGUCAUGAAUGUGAUUUGGAUCACAAUAUUAAUGCUUUUUGACGUCUUUAUGAUUGAAAUUAAGGUCGUAUCAGCAAUUAACUGUGAUUCUCUACAAUAUCAAAAAUUGUAAUACAACACAAUUUUGAUCAUAGAAAUACUCCUCUCACCCUCUCAUAGAAACACUAAUUUACCUGAAAAAUACUAUUGGAUUAGAUGUACAAAAAGAAAAUAAAUACCGAGAAACAUUGAAUUUUAAGAUUUGUAUGAAAAUGAACACUGAUAGAUUACAUUUAAUGCAGGUUUUAUACAACAAAAUUACUUGUCAUCCAUUAGACUCCAACGUUACAGACAAAUGCUUUGUUAUCGUCAUUAAUGUAAAAG